CUUGUUAUUCUGAGCUACUUCACCGUUGUUACCGCCGUUCUGGUCACCGGGUGUGGUGUGGGUGAUCACCGGAACCACCAUCGGAGUUACCGUUAUUUCAAUUUAGCCGUUCGUCCUUGUUUGGGAUUGAGUUACGGGUCUUGAUAGCUGAGUUUUAUGGUUGUUGCAUACAGCAUCAAGGUGCUACGUCGUCACCGGAGCUGCUGUUGCCCCGUUUUCUCGAUUAUUCGUAAGCCCAGAUUGAGCUAAGGCUGUGUUUAGAGGCUGUGACUGCUGCGGGGACGGUCGGUAUUGAUGCUGUUGCUGUGGGAUAAGAAUAGAAAUGCAGUUUGUUGCGUAGUUGAAUCGCGAACGAGCUUUAUCUUUUCAGGAACCGGAUGAAGAAUCAUUAAGAAGAGAUAUACUGUGUUUGGUUUAUAAGAUGUUGUAUUAAUUAGAUUAUUUUCUUCCCUCGUCUUUGUUAUUACGAGUUUGUAAGAGGGAUAGGAAUUGUAUGUUUUAUAUGUAUAUUAUAUUAUGAGUUAUUAUGUAAGGAGUCUUGUAUAUGAAUCUAUGUCUGUUUGUAUUUUUUAAGAUAAAGUGUUUGGUUUCGGUUUUUCUAAGAAAUCAGCGAUACAGUGUUGAGUCA